rnacentral:rRNA from 1 species
CAAUAGCGUAUAUUAAAGUUGUUGCGGUUAAAAAGCUCGUAGUUGGAUCUCGGCAGGCAGGGGGUGGUUCGCUCUUAGCGCUACUGCCCCAUUUGCCUGUGUGAUUGGCGGAGGUUUCGGGGUGCUCUUCGUUGAGUGACCCGGGGCGCCGUCAGGUUUACUUUGAAAAAAUUAGAGUGCUCAAAGCAGGCUUUUCACGCUUGAAUAUUCGUGCAUGGAAUAAUGGAAUAGGAACUCGUUUCUAUUUCGUUGGUUUUCGGAAAUCGAGUUAAUGAUUAAUAGGGACAAUUGGGGGCAUUAGUAUUCAGACGACAGAGGUGAAAUUCUUGGACCGUCUGAAGACUAACUACUGCGAAAGCACUUGCCAAGAGUGUUUUCAUUAA